GGGGUGAACAGGGUCUUGGUCACAGGCAGGAGACCUGGAAUAGGGCCAGCUGGACACCUCCUUUACAUGGACAUCUCUCACGGGAUCCAGUCUGCAACCAACAUAUCAGGUGUUGGGCACCUGCACCAUUCCAAUCACUGAGUUGAGCCCUGUGGAUACCCUGGUGAACAAGACAGACAAGGUGGGGAGGCAGACGACAAACAGAUACGGAUAGGUUCUACACUGCUCAGCUCUGCAGCUGGAAUGGACACCAUUUCUGGCUCCAGAGGUGGAUCCUGACUGGCUGAACCCAGCCAGUGCUUCCCCUUCCCUUGGUGAGGCAACUGCUUCAGGAUGGGCAUCUGGCUCCAUUCAGGCCACGAGGGGAGAAGACUCCUUUAGCCGGGGGUCCUGGAAGGAGCCUUCCUUUCUCUUUUAUGAGAGGAAACAAGAUGCAGAAAUAGGAGCUGAUCCACGUGGCUUGGGAAAGUGGGGAGCUUUCUGAAAGUUGAGCCAGCAGCUAAGAGCCACCUCUCUGAAGAUAAAGGAAAUGCAGCUGUGCAGACGCACGUGGCCUUCACUGCCACUCUCUUGCUUUUGACAUUCUUUCCCUCCACCUUGGUUUUGAAAAGCCUGACAAGGAGUCUGUUGAGAGACAAAUCUUUAAAGGCUCUCCUUGUGCUCAGUGAUACCAUAUUGUCCCUGACUGUGACUGUGGCAGUGGCUAAGUCCUAUCGCUCUACACAGGCCAUGGCUCAUAUCAAGCCAUUCCUCUUUCACAGGGUUGUGGUAACUCCACUUGCUUUCACUGGCCUCUCUGGAACCACAGCGGGGAAUGGCUGCCUGUCAUUUCUAGGCCCUGCAGGCUUCCCCAUCCCAUGAUGGAUACCUUACCUUGCCCACUCCUCUAAA